UCCAGGUCCCCGAGGGGCGGGCCCAGGGUCCCCACUCCCGGGCCCAGGGAGCAGGGUGCGAGGCCUGGGGAGGAUUCUGGGGACGGGACCGUCUGUCGGGGUUCUUAGAAGGGGAGAUGACUUUUCACUGUAACUGGGGCUCAUGCAGGAAGCCUGAGGGAGCAGAAGGCGGAAACGCACCCACAUCAAAGGCGGCAGGGCGGGGUGGGGUAAAGGGGCGAGCAGGGAAGGGGCUGCAGGGUGCGAGGCCUGCCCUUCUGUCCCUUCCAAGACCCUGCCACAGGCAUGAGGGGUCCCCGGCCGAGAUGACAGUGCUGGUGCCAGCCUGGAACCCAAAUUCCUCUCUGCUGCUGCUGUUGCUGCUGCUGAGUCCUUGCCUGCGGGGGACGCCUGACUGUUACUUCAGCCACAGUCCUAUCUCCUCCAACUUCCACGUGAGGAUCAGCGAGUUGACUGACUACCUGCUUAAAGAUUACCCAGUCACUGUGGCCAUCAAUCUUCAGGACGAGAAACACUGCAAGGCUUUAUGGAGCCUCUUCCUGGCCCAGCGCUGGAUGGAGCGACUGAAGACUGUGGCAGGGUCUGAAAUGCAAAAGCUCCUGGAGGUUGUCAACACGGAGAUACAUUUCGUCACCUCGUGUGCCUUCCGGCCUCUCCCAGAGUGCCUUCGCUUCGUCCAGACCAACAUCUCCCACCUCCUGCAGGACACCUGCACACAGCUGUUGGCUCUGAAGCCGUGUAUGGGGAAGGCCUGCCAGAAUUUCUCUCGGUGCCUGGAGGUGCAGUGCCAGCCGGACUCCUCUACCCUGCUGCCCCCAAGGAGUCCUGUAGCCCUAGAAGCCACAGCACUUCCAGAGCCUCAGCCCAGCCAGCUGUUGCUCCUGCUGCUGCUGCCUCUCACACUUGUGCUGCUGGCAGCUGCCUGGGGCCUUCGCUGGCAAAGGGCAAGAAGGAGGGCAGUGCUCCGACCUGGGGUGCCCCUCACCUCCCAUCCCUAGGAUAUGACACUUGGGCAGCAGCGUUGACUCAGCCAGGGUCUUAUCUCGUGUCUCUGUAGCUCAGAUGGCCUGGAACUCCUGGGUAAUCCAUUCUCCUGCCUCUACCUCUGGAGUGCUGGGAUCACAGUUUUACAGAGGAGGAUACUGAGGCCAAGCAGGCGUCACCUGACAGAUGUUGCACAACCUGGACACAGGGAAAGUUGGGUAGAGCCUGGCCCCUUCUUGGACCUUGCUGCCCCUCCAGCCCUCUCCCCAGGAU